ensembl:snRNA U6 U6 spliceosomal RNA
UUGCUUUGACAGCACCUAUACUAAAAUUGGAAUAAUACUGAGAGGAUUAGCAUGGCCCCUGCUCAAGGAUGAGAUGCAAAUUCAUGCAGCGUUCCAUAUUUUA